UCUUCGUACAUAUGGAAAGAGCAACAUAAAGUUGCUGAACCUCGUUUUCUUUCCCCUUUUGUAACUAAAGCACAUCAAUUUCAAAGUUAUUCUAUACGGAUUAUUGUUAAAGAAUUCAUAAGGUGCAUUUAAUUUCAAGCUUAAACACGGUUAUUUCUCUUAUGAUUUUCCGAUUUAAACAUUGAUUCUACCGGAUCCUUGCACGUCAAAGAUUACCUCGUAGUGAAGUAAUCUUGAAAUUAAAGUGUUCUUGAGCUCUUGAGACUUACAAGCUCGGACACAUAAGCGUAGCUAAUAGGACGUGGAACAGGUACACCCAGACGAGUUGAAGCUAUUAUAGAAGACGUUCCAGCGAAGUUGGCGAGCUCCAUUUGGCCCUGGAGUGUAGCCGAGUCAGCUUACUAUGCUAUGAUGUUCUGUUUGAAGUUAGAGACUUUGCAGACAAAGUCGUGGGUAUCGGGAGUCAGUUUGUAUUAUGAUAUAAGUAUUUCAAAGUUACAGACUUUAUUUGAUUUGAAAACAACAAAAGAAUAUUUCAGUAAACUCUAUUAUGUAUACUUGAUUUAGAGGUUCAAAAAAAAAAUUAAGUACGUAAUAAGAGUCAGCGGGUUCGCUCGGCUCCGGAUAUGGGGUCGGGUGCCCAUCACACCCCAGUAAAGUCGGGGUGUGACAAAGUGGUAUCAAAGUAGGUCGGUCUAAGGGUUGUUUGCAAAGUCGUGUCUAGUAGAGUCCUGUUUAUGGGUGUGAAGCCGGCCAGAUUUAUAAACAGGAGGCUGCGGGGCAUCUAGGGACUGUUGACCUUCUUUCUGUCUUUGAUCGUGCGAUAGAGCCAAGUCAUAGGAAAUAAGACUCCUUAUACUAAUCGUUGAAUUCCGCAAAUGCCUAGUAUCGACGGAAGAAAGCGAGUGAUGAUAUGGCAAGUCACAAAGGUAAGUCUGGAUAUUUGUUCUGUUAUCUGAAACUGGAAGCUCUAGAUAGCUAGAACGUGUUAUAUAGCCGUAUGUUCUGUGAGGUCUUGUCGAUAUCUACUGCAUACGGACUGUAAAUAAUAAGAAUGGUAAAGGAGAUUCUGUCAGAAUUGCUAGGUAUGUUUAAUAGGAAAAAAAAACGUGGAAAGGAAACAUCGUAAACAGACAAUAAGUGAGAUGUGCCGCUUAGAGGAGCCACGGAUUUGGACACGGCAUGAAGAAAAAUUGUGAGAAAGACGAUUAGUAGUCCGGACUGGCUGAUAAUCGGAUAUCCAUAAGUAACGACGACGAAAGUGUAAUUGUUACCAUCAGGAAUCUGGGAAUCCAGGGCGAAAGAUAGUUAUGCACGUAAGUGAAAGGUGAACAUUGGAAAUCAAAAAGGGUAAAAUAGUAAUUGCAAAAGAAAGGACGUGUUACGAAAAUGUCCCGGAGCCAGUAAGACUUCAGUUUGCUUCAGAACACGUAAUAAAGGUCAUGUGAGGAAGCGGACGCGAAAAUAUCAGUAUUAAGGCACCGAAUUCCAGUGAAGUUUCGAGGAUUAAGCGUGCUCAGAUGGGAGCAAUUUUGGGAUGGGUGACUGUUAUAUCCUGCAUUUUCGAAUGUCGAAUUAUUUGUAAGCUGAGGUGGGGCCCACACAUCAAUAUUUUUUUUGGGACAUGUGAAAAGUUAUAUGAAUCGUAUAUGUAAAGUUAAACACAACCCGUGAAGGGCCCUGGGGCCAAAUCAAAGUGGAAGCCCUCCAAACGAAUAUUUUUAAGAAAACGUUUUCGGAUGACCUGACUUGUAGGGUCAAAACCGGCAUUGUAAGUUUGGAAUUUGGGAAACGCCCAGAAAUAAAAGUUGUAGAUAAUUGAAAUAGCUUUCCAACGGUAGGUCGUGAGCUCCCAGGCGACGUCGGUACAAGGAGAUAUGGACAUUUUAAGACGGAAAGGUCAAGCUGGGCAGUGAAAUGGGCCCAACCCGAUUCCAAUCCGGGUCAGGCCCAUUUCCUUAUUAUUUAAGGGAGUUUUCAGCCCCCUCCUCCACAUUUCAGAUCAGAAAAGAUCCAGAAAAUUCCAUUAGAGAGAGAGAGAAAACUUCAAGGCUAAGAAUGUCAUUUUGAUCAAAAUCCGAGCUCCGAAUCCCGAAGCUCAUGAAGAGAAAAACGUUGUACGUUGCGUUGCCUUCAAUUUGAGAUAAAUAUUGGUCUUGGGGGAUGAAAUUUUCGUGGUGGAUCUUCUGAUAAGGUAUUUAUAAAAUUCCUUUUAUGUUAUUAAAGUGUUUAUUUAGAGUUUUAACGAAUUAGAACGGAGAAAACAGCAUUAUAAACUCGUUUGUUGUUUUGUUGAAAUUUAUGGGUGAGGGGCUGUUUUAAUUGAAAUUGAUGGACUGAUUUGAAUUAAUAUUUUGGUUGUUUUAAUCAUGGAUUAUGUGAGGAGAGUGAAGGAACUUAAUGGUUAUUAAGUUGUUGUAGGAAAACAUACAACUUUGUUAUGGUUUAUGUAAAAAUGGAAAUGAAAGUAUCAAGAGGGAAAUUAUGAUUAUUGUGGAUGAAUUUGGAAGAUGGAAAUGUAUAAUGAACUUGUAUGUUGAAGGUUAGGAAAAAUUGGAAAAGUAGUGGCUUAAUGGAAAGUUUGAAUGUUCGCAUACCUUAUGAAUAUUGGGUGAAAAUGGUAUGGAUGCUUCCGAUGUAUGUUGUAAUGAAUUUGGUGGGUGAUGAAUAUCAAAAUAACAAGUUUGGUUUGGAAAUGUAAGUUUGAAACGAAAGAUGUGUCGUUAUGCCGAAACGAUGGCUAGUGAUGCCUUAGUGUGUGUUUUAAUGUCUGUUGUUGUUUUUGCUGUUGUUCUGGGUUGUUGUGUAGUGAAUUGAGCCGAGCUAAGUCUCGGGGAUGUCUUAUAUACAGAGGAAAUGCUGCCGAAAUUUCGGUAGGCAAACUUGUGUAAAGUUGGAUUAUUGAAAAGUUUGAAACUAACAAAUGGUAACUUGACCAUUUCUAGAUUUUGGACGAAAUUGGGAUUGACGCCAAGCGAGCGUAAGGCGCUAUCGAGGUAUGUGAAGCAUUUCCCUUUGUUCCUAGGCAUGUUCUGGAUGUGAUAGGCUCGGCCGCGAGCCUUAAGUACGACUCCGUUCCCCGGAAUUCGAGACGGAAAACCGCUCCAAUUCCUUCCAUUCAAUUGAAGCUAUUUUCUUACAAAUUGCCUUUAAAGUGAGUUUUUGUACAAAACUUCCCUAAACGGAGUCGGAACACUUCCAAACGAUUACGAACGACCUCAUAAGGUCUAUUGUCGGUAAAUUACAUAUGUUUCCUCGAGUUGGUCCGAGGCGGGCCCGCAAUGUAACACCCCGCAUUUUAGGACUGAGUUUAAGCUCAUAUCAUUAGAGUUCUAGUGGAAACAUGGAAGGUUUGAACGUUUUGCGAAAAUGGUUGAUAGGCUUAUUUCGGGCAGCGAUAACUCCUUGAUCGGUUUGGAAUUUUGGAAGGUACUAUCAAUAAAGUUGUAGUAUGUAGAAAUACCUUUCUAACGAUAUAAGGAUCAAGCCAAUCAGAGAUCGGAGCAAGGAGAUAUGAUCGUCUCAAUAUGGCUAAUAGUAAGGCACUUGAAAUCCUAUAGAAUCGGCUAAGUUUUUGAUACGUCUGACUUCCAGUCAAAUUUCAUGAAAAUCCGUUGGGAAUUUGAGAAAACGUCCUUGACGAAAGUUGUAGCCCUUUGAAAUAGCUUUCCAACGGUAUCUUACGGGGGUCAAACGGACAUCUGUGCAAAGAGUUAUGCCCAUUUUACUGAAGCCUGUUCGCUGGAAAUUCUGCCAGCGUAACGGCGACGUUACGGGCCGUAUUUCGUGUUACGGUCCGUAACAGUGGACCGUAACGUCCCGAAAAUUUCCAGAAACUCACUGGAAAUUUUCACCAAGAUACGGUACCAAGUUACGGUCCGUAUCUCGUGUUACGGGACCGUAACAGUGACCGUAUCUUGGUCCGUAUAUACGUUUCGGGUCACCUGACUUCGGGAGGCCAUAACCCUAUCAUAACUUGGGAAUUUGGGAAAACUCAAAGAACGAAAGUUGUAGAUAAUUGAAAAACCUGUCCAACCAUAGGUUGUGGGUUCACAGGAGACUUCGGGAUAAGGAGAUAUGGACGUUUUAAGACAGAUAGGUCCCAACCCGUUUUCAAGUUGGGUCAACCCAUUUUCCCCUUGGUAUAUAAAGAAAAUAUUACCCUAACAGCCCAUUUUUCCUCCAAAACUCAGAUUUUAGAGAGAGGAAGUGAGAGAGAAGGGAAAUUAGAGAGAGAAAGUAGAAAAUCAACCAAGUUUAAGGCCCCGAAUCCCAAAGCUCGUGAAGGAAAAAGUGUAGUACAAGUCGUUGUCGUCAUUUUAAGCCCAAGAUCGGACUUGGGGGUGUUGAUUUCGUGGUGACUACCCAAAAGGUAAUAUUUCUACUCCCCAAUCAUUUAUAGUUAUGAAUUGAUGAAUUCUUGGGAGUAUAAUAAUUGGGUUUGUUGAAGAUGAUUAUAUGAACUAUGUUAGAAUUGUUGGAUUGAUGACUUGGGAUUGUUGUAUUCAUAUGGAUUAUGAAGAAUGAUGUUAAUUGCAUCUAAUUGAGACUGUAGAAAUUGUUAGAAGUAAAAGAAUGGGGAUUUGGUGAAGAAAACACCAUUAAUGGGGGUUAUAGAGCUUCAUGCCCACUAAGUGUUUGAUAAAAUGCUUAGAUGAACAAAACAUGGAUAUUGUUGCUAAUAUAGAAUCACUAUGACUUGUAUGCUAUAGAUUGAAGUUGAAGGGGGUGAAGGACAUUGUGAUACGCCCAAAAGCGGAAGGUUAAGGUAUGUAGAACUUCCAUCCACAUGUGGGAACUUCUAUGUUCUUCCCCAUGAUCCGUUUAGUAAAUUCUAUGAAGUUCAACUCCUAGGGCAUUAAACCCAAUGUAUUGGUAGCCCGUAAUUAUGUAUGUAUGUAUGUACAUGAAUUCCGUAUAUAUGUUCGUUAUUGUGUUCCUAAACCUCCAUUUCGGACAUUAGGAAUCCUAGCUUAAUCCAUGAAUCAUGAAUUCUUCCUCAUGUGUUCUCAUGAUGUUUAUAUGAAAUUGUAAAAUGUUAUUUUACAAAUUACAAGCAUGUUUUCAAGUCAGCUACAAACGUAUGAUGCAUUAUGGUAUUUCUCAUGAUCAAGUUUACAAGUUAUUUCAUGAAAAUAUGUUUACAAGUCCUUUCGUGAAAUCAUGAUUUCAAGACAAGUACAAGUUAAUUCACGAAAGUCAUGGGCUUCUUAGCCAACUAUAUUAUUUUCAUGUUCGGGAGUUGUAAUAAUACCGAGAAGGCUCAGAUAGCCUGAAACUACGUAUGCCAACGUAGGAUAAGAAUCGCUCCGCCCAGUAGGACGAUUCCUUUAUAUGUUCCCCAUUGAGGGAUUUGGAUCCAUUCAUGUUAUGUUCAUGUCUCGUGCCCCGGCAAGGUACGAGUUGGCUUAGCUGAUCGGGCAGAGAUCAGACUCCACGCUCCUCCCCGUGGUGGUUUAUGUCGGUAUUACAGAUUAUUACAGAUUAUUACAGAUUAUUACAGAUUACUACAGACUAUCUCAUGCUUCCAGUACUCAGUUUCAGUUUUAAAUUUCAUGAUUUUGUACUCAUGCUCAUGCUCAUGUUCAUGUCCAAGUUUUCAGUUUCAGUUCUUACUAUGUUAUUCCAUGUUCCAUGUUGUUUCUUUCGAUUGCUUUACAUACCAGUACAUUCAAUGUGCUGACGUCCCCUUUUUAUUGC